rnacentral:rRNA from 1 species
GGUGACAGGUGGUGGCAUGGUUGUCGUCAGCUCGUGUCGUGAGAUGUUGGUUAAGUCCCGCAACGAGCGCAACCCCUAUUGUUAGUUGCCAUCAUUCAGUUGGGCACUCUAGCGAGACUGCCGGUAAUAAACCGGAGGAAGGUGGGGAUGACGUCAAAUCAUCAUGCCCCUUAUGACCUGGGCUACACACGUGCUACAAUGGUUGGUACAACGAGUUGCGAGUCGGUGACGGCGAGCUAAUCUCUUAAAGCCAAUCUCAGUUCGGAUUGUAGGCUGCAACUCGCCUACAUGAAGUCGGAAUCGCUAGUAAUCGCGGAUCAGCACGCCGCGGUGAAUACGUUCCCGGGCCUU